rnacentral:tRNA from 1 species
CAGGGAGACAACAAAAUGUUUAAUAUUUUUUAUUUUGUCACCUUAGGUCGAUCGGUAUCUCACGUUCUUAAUUUAUUAAGGAUUUCAUUUCCUAAGUUUUUCUAGGUCACACCCAUUAUUUUUCCUGGGCCAUUAGCUCAGGUGGUUAGAGCGCACCCCUGAUAAGGGUGAGGUCCCUGGUUCAAGUCCAGGAUGGCCCAUAUCUCUAUGUUGGGGGUAUAGCUCAGUUGGUAGAGCGCCUGCUUUGCAAGCAGGAUGUCAGCGGUUCGAGUCCGCUUACCUCCACUGAUUACCACCUCUUCCAUAAUAUGAAGAAAGGGAAUUUUUUGAGUCGUGACCAAAUUCUGAAAGAAUCUAGCUUCCUAAUGAAAUCAUUAAGAUGCUGGACUCAUUGAUUAAUUUCAUUGUUUUCAGAGAACCUUGACAACUGCAUAGAUUAUUUUUUUAAAGACAAUAAGCAUCUUUAAUGAUGCAGAUUUAUUAUUUGUGCGAAUGCAUUAAUAACAAUUCUAUUAAGCUGAUGCUUCAAUUUUUGAAGUUAUU